rnacentral:rRNA from 1 species
NNNNNUUGNUGNUGGNUCNNAACGAACGCUGGCGGCAGGNCUAACACAUGCAAGUUGAACGCUCCGCAAGGGGCGUGGCGCACGGGUGAGUAACGCGUGGGAAUCUACCUAGUUCUGCGGAACAACAGUUGGAAACGACUGCUAAUACCGCAUACGCCCUACGGGGGAAAGAUUUAUCGGAAUUAGAUGAGCCCGCGUAAGAUUAGCUAGUUGGUGGGGUAAUGGCCUACCAAGGCGACGAUCUUUAGCUGGUCUGAGAGGAUGAUCAGCCACACUGGGACUGAGACACGGCCCAGACUCCUACGGGAGGCAGCAGUGGGGAAUAUUGGACAAUGGGCGCAAGCCUGAUCCAGCCAUGCCGCGUGAGUGAUGAAGGCCUUAGGGUUGUAAAGCUCUUUCNNUGGGGAAGAUAAUGACGGUACCCACAGAAGAAGCCCCGGCUAACUUCGUGCCAGCAGCCGCGGUAAUAC